rnacentral:rRNA from 4 species
UUAAGCGACUAAGCGUACACGGUGGAUGCCCUGGCAGUCAGAGGCGAUGAAGGACGUGCUAAUCUGCGAAAAGCGUCGGUAAGGUGAUAUGAACCGUUAUAACCGGCGAUGUCCGAAUGGGGAAACCCAGUGCAAUUCGUUGCACUAUCGUUAACUGAAUACAUAGGUUAACGAGGCGAACCGGGGGAACUGAAACAUCUAAGUACCCCGAGGAAAAGAAAUCAACCGAGAUUCCCCCAGUAGCGGCGAGCGAACGGGGAGCAGCCCAGAGUCUGAAUCAGCUUGUGUGUUAGUGGAACGGUCUGGAAAGUCCGACGGUACAGGGUGAUAGUCCCGUACACCAAAAUGCACAGGUUGUGAACUCGAAGAGUAGGGCGGGACACGUGGUAUCCUGUCUGAAUAUGGGGGGACCAUCCUCCAAGGCUAAAUACUCCUGACUGACCGAUAGUGAACCAGUACCGUGAGGGAAAGGCGAAAAGAACCCCGGCGAGGGGAGUGAAAAAGAACCUGAAACCGUGUACGUACAAGCAGUGGGAGCACCUUCGGGUGUGACUGCGUACCUUUUGUAUAAUGGGUCAGCGACUUAUAUUCUGUAGCAAGGUUAACCGUAUAGGGGAGCCGCAGGGAAACCGAGUCUUAACUGGGCGUUAAGUUGCAGGGUAUAGACCCGAAACCCGGUGAUCUAGCCAUGGGCAGGUUGAAGGUUGGGUAACACUAACUGGAGGACCGAACCGACUAAUGUUGAAAAAUUAGCGGAUGACUUGUGGCUGGGGGUGAAAGGCCAAUCAAACCGGGAGAUAGCUGGUUCUCCCCGAAAGCUAUUUAGGUAGCGCCUCGUGAAUUCAUCUUCGGGGGUAGAGCACUGUUUCGGCUAGGGGGUCAUCCCGACUUACCAACCCGAUGCAAACUACGAAUACCGAAGAAUGUUAUCACGGGAGACACACGGCGGGUGCUAACGUCCGUCGUGAAGAGGGAAACAACCCAGACCGCCAGCUAAGGUCCCAAAGUCAUGGUUAAGUGGGAAACGAUGUGGGAAGGCACAGACAGCCAGGAUGUUGGCUUAGAAGCAGCCAUCAUUUAAAGAAAGCGUAAUAGCUCACUGGUCGAGUCGGCCUGCGCGGAAGAUGUAACGGGGCUAAACCAUGCACCGAAGCUGCGGCAGCGACACUAUGUGUUGUUGGGUAGGGGAGCGUUCUGUAAGCCUGCGAAGGUGACCUGUGAGGGUUGCUGGAGGUAUCAGAAGUGCGAAUGCUGACAUAAGUAACGAUAAAGCGGGUGAAAAGCCCGCUCGCCGGAAGACCAAGGGUUCCUGUCCAACGUUAAUCGGGGCAGGGUGAGUCGACCCCUAAGGCGAGGCCGAAAGGCGUAGUCGAUGGGAAACAGGUUAAUAUUCCUGUACUUGGUGUUACUGCGAAGGGGGGACGGAGAAGGCUAUGUUAGCCGGGCGACGGUUGUCCCGGUUUAAGCAUGUAGGCUGGUUGUCCAGGCAAAUCCGGAUAAUCAAGGCUGAGGUGUGAUGACGAGGCACUACGGUGCUGAAGUAACAAAUGCCCUGCUUCCAGGAAAAGCCUCUAAGCAUCAGGUAACAUUAAAUCGUACCCCAAACCGACACAGGUGGUCAGGUAGAGAAUACCAAGGCGCUUGAGAGAACUCGGGUGAAGGAACUAGGCAAAAUGGUGCCGUAACUUCGGGAGAAGGCACGCUGGUGUGUAGGUGAAGUCCCUGCGGAUGGAGCUGAGACCAGUCGAAGAUACCAGCUGGCUGCAACUGUUUAUUAAAAACACAGCACUGUGCAAACACGAAAGUGGACGUAUACGGUGUGACGCCUGCCCGGUGCCGGAAGGUUAAUUGAUGGGGUUAUCCGUAAGGAGAAGCUCUUGAUCGAAGCCCCGGUAAACGGCGGCCGUAACUAUAACGGUCCUAAGGUAGCGAAAUUCCUUGUCGGGUAAGUUCCGACCUGCACGAAUGGCGUAAUGAUGGCCAGGCUGUCUCCACCCGAGACUCAGUGAAAUUGAACUCGCUGUGAAGAUGCAGUGUACCCGCGGCAAGACGGAAAGACCCCGUGAACCUUUACUAUAGCUUGACACUGAACAUUGAGCCUUGAUGUGUAGGAUAGGUGGGAGGCUUUGAAGCGUGGACGCCAGUCUGCGUGGAGCCAACCUUGAAAUACCACCCUUUAAUGUUUGAUGUUCUAACGUUGGCCCCUUACCGGGGUUGCGGACAGUGUCUGGUGGGUAGUUUGACUGGGGCGGUCUCCUCCCAAAGCGUAACGGAGGAGCACGAAGGUUAGCUAAUCCUGGUCGGACAUCAGGAGGUUAGUGCAAUGGCAUAAGCUAGCUUGACUGCGAGCGUGACGGCGCGAGCAGGUGCGAAAGCAGGUCAUAGUGAUCCGGUGGUUCUGAAUGGAAGGGCCAUCGCUCAACGGAUAAAAGGUACUCCGGGGAUAACAGGCUGAUACCGCCCAAGAGUUCAUAUCGACGGCGGUGUUUGGCACCUCGAUGUCGGCUCAUCACAUCCUGGGGCUGAAGUAGGUCCCAAGGGUAUGGCUGUUCGCCAUUUAAAGUGGUACGCGAGCUGGGUUUAGAACGUCGUGAGACAGUUCGGUCCCUAUCUGCCGUGGGCGCUGGAGAAUUGAGGGGGGCUGCUCCUAGUACGAGAGGACCGGAGUGGACGCAUCACUGGUGUUCGGGUUGUCAUGCCAAUGGCACUGCCCGGUAGCUAAAUGCGGAAGAGAUAAGUGCUGAAAGCAUCUAAGCACGAAACUUGCCCCGAGAUGAGUUCUCCCUGAGACUUUAAGUCUCCUGAAGGAACGUUAAAGACGAUGACGUUGAUAGGCCGGGUGUGUAAGCGCAGCGAUGCGUUGAGCUAACCGGUACUAAUGAACCGUGAGGCUUAACCUU